rnacentral:rRNA from 1 species
UACGAAGGGUGCGAGCGUUAUUCGGAUUGAUUGGGCGUAAAGGGUGCGCAGGCGGAAUGUUAAGUCAGCCGUUUAAUUUCUCAGCCUAACUGAGAGUCGGCGGUCGAUACUGGCAUUCUUGAGGAUGGAAGAGAGAAGUGGAAUUCUCGGAGUAGCGGUAAAAUGCGUAGAUCUCGAGAGGAACACCGAUGGCGAAGGCAGCUUCUUGGUCCAUUUCUGACGCUCAUGCACGAAAGCGUGGGGAGCAAACAGG